GUGGUUUGGGGCGAGCUGUUGUUUCCGAGCUAGAUCUAUUACCAGGAGGGCCCGCCAGCCCUGGUACCUUCUCUUCGGGGCUUUCCUUGCCUUGAUGGAUACACGGUGCGGGGAUGUGCGGGAAGGUCGCUGCCCGACACUAUUGCUGAUCGGCGAUGUGAUGACAGGUCGAAUCCGCUGCAUGCCGUGCGGACUACUAACUAAUCAACGAGAUACCCCAGACGCUUGGGCGUCGAAACACGAGUCGCGGAAUAUCACGUCGUUCGGACGGUGCUGGCUGCAGCCCGCGCGCAAAAGCUUUAUUCUGUUGUCGUCAUUGGGUAGUGAGAUCGCCAUCUCACAAACUCACUCACUCACACACACAGACGCGCGCAGGAAAGCCCCUGCGAGGAAAAAUGGCUUCUCCCGUACCCCCUCAGCUGCCUCCAAACUCCAAA
rnacentral:lncRNA from 1 species